rnacentral:sRNA from 1 species
AUUUAGCCCCGAUAGAAGUGAAAAUCCUUUUUGUCUCGUUUUUUUCGAGACAAAAAGAUUGCAGCGAAUAGCGGGAUUAGCU